AAUCCGUGCAGACUGCUGUGUGUGCUAGCUUCAGGAGCAUCCAGCCGUCUCUCCCGACGGCAACGAAGGUACGAUCACCGUUACCGUUCCUCAAUCUUUGCCUGUUGGCAGUAUUGGCUUUAACUGCCCUGGCUGACACGAAGAGAUACACUUGAGUAACAAUGAACAACGGACGUUAGGGCACAUGACGUUAUGCUAGUGACGGAUAGUCGCGGCGGCAGUCGUGCCGGUAACAGAGGCGACCAUUGCCUUCGACAGAGGCAAAGGCGUCUGUAAUAGGCUCUCCUCUCGAAUCGUGCCGUGCCCAGAUGGAUGUAAAUCAAGAUUAAUGAAUCUCGGAGCAAUAUACUAUGGUGGGGAUGAGUGUAGGCAGCUGUUCAAACACGUAGAGCAGCAUGAUAGCGCAUCUAGGAUAUAGCAGCAGAGGUUAACGUAUGAAACACGGAAUUAGUUAGACGAUUAAGAAAGAAAGGGUCACGGUUUAUCCUCGAGCGACGACAAUCGAAGCUAAGGUUGUGUAUUUCGUUCAUCAUUAAGUACUCCAAUUACAAUCAUCGACUUGCUGGUAGUUCAGAACGAGCAUCGCAGCUAACAACGAGAAGCUUUACCUCUUUUUGAAGAGCCCGUUCUACUGCUAUUGACCCUUAACGUUCAUCUAACUGAUUUAUUUGACGUUCAUCCAACUGAUUUAUCUGACGUUCAUCGGCCUGCGUCAUGUUCGGGAUGUUACCUGCUCGCAACGGAGGGAUCUUCAGUUUCCAAACAGCGUGCCAGAAAAAGAAAAAAAAUACAUCCGAAAAUAGAUUCUGAGAUCCCAAGUACCCGAAGGUCCAGGCUGGUCGGAGCUUAGCGGCCACGCACCCAGUCGCAAAAGAAGUAGCACGUAUCCAAUCAGUCUUGACAAAGCUCAUGGCAGAUAGUUGGCCUCACCAGACAAAUUGAUGGGCCUGCCGCUGCUUUUGUUGCUAGCGGAACGAUCAGCAAAAAUUUCCGCUAAUUAUUAGAAACAUGAGCAUAUUUAUGAGGCAGCAUCGAUCGAAGCGCCACGACACCGCGGCAAAGACGGCCUACCGCAAGGCAAGAUCAGGCUCGUCAUGGAACCUUCAAGACACUGCAAUGCUUCCUACAUAUGUAAGAUCCUGUGGACGACAUUAUGGCCGAACGACGAUCUCGAUAGGCUGAUCAUGGGCCUUUAUAUCACUCAUAUAAUAUUUAAUCGAAUUAAAGGUUACAUCAUGAUAUUAGAUGGGUUACUCGAUAAGUGGCUCUAGGCGGCAGCAACGGCAGAGCGAGUCCGAGCGAAAGCUACCUGCGAGCGGAUGGUUGGAACUAGUUUGGUGCCAAUGUAACGAGGAUAUAGGGCAGUGGCGGGAGCGUAACAAAGCAGGAAAGUAUACCGGGUUCACUAUCAUUCAAACAAAUGUAGGACGUCGGUGCAUAUCUAAGUAUUCUAUUAUAUAGCAUUACGUACAACAAAACUUGUGAGUUAAUACUACAUGGGACCCUACAACCGACAUAUUUACUUAUUCGCACUUGAUUCUAAUAGGACGCAGCAUACGCUAAUUAAAACCAUCAGUGGUUAUAACCCAGCAUAAACGAUUAAUGAGGUUGUCGUCUCUAUUUUGUUUACGUAGGUCAAACGUAUUACAUGCCGGGCAAUCCUUGCUUAGUAAAAUAUGACGACACCUAAAACUCGCUGACACAGUAAAAGAUUUCUUAUUCACUACCAUUAACAUUGUCAAGUAUUGUACCACUUAAUGUUAUUUAGUAGUGGCUAAAAAAUAAUGGGAAAUUGCUUUUAGGUUCGUUUAUUUGCUAAUCGUUCAGCGCGGACAAAUCUGAUUACCAGCUUUCCCGUGCUUUAGUGUCUAUAGUAAAAGGAGGGAAAAGUGAGGUGCCAAAGCUUGUUUAACUUAACACGUGCGGUCAAAAGGUAGGAUAAGCAGACAAACAAUUAGUUUAUGUUCAGCUCUCGCUAUAUACGAAUACGCAAUAGAUUAUUCAGAAGUCGUCCAAGCUAACAAUCACGCGCAGGAUUUCAAAGCGUUCACAGGAUUUCGUGCCAUUGCGAAAGAUGCCGUGCAUGUUGGUUAUUUCAAACUGUAGCUAGCGUUUUUCAGCUUGCCCAUAGCCCAACUACCCUUAAUUUCAAUUGCAUCGGACGCAUCCAACAUGCUCAAAUCUGACAGAUUAAGACGGACGAUAUUUUUUGGAAAUAUAUGGUCCUAAUUAUUAGUAUGAACUCCAGUGCCAUACAAUCAAAUAUAUAAAAUGCCAAUAAGAAAAAGUCACCUAUCGCAUGCGAUCAUUUCGGGUGUUCAUUUGCUUAAUGCGUAGCUAGUAAUAGCCAAUCGAAUUACUGCUUCGCCCGUCUUCUAGAGAAAUUAUACCGGGACCGAUUAAUUAUGUACUCUCAUUCGAUUUCUCGGUCUUAGCGGAUAAUGUCAGGGCUAACGAGAGCUGCGUAUCCUUUUCAGGAUUAGGCCGGCACAGUAUAAGAAGGCGUCUUGCUUAGCCGCACCGGCCAUGAAACGAGUUAAGCCGUUUGGCUAUUAUAUGCUGAGCAUAGUAAGAGUCCUAGGACUAGGCUCAUGCAAGGCGGGGGGACAGGUGAUAUAUCGGCCAUGCUGGUCGCAAGGAUCUAGAGGUGCUGAGAGUGGAUCGCUACCACGCUACCUAUAAAGUAGCAGGAUCUGCCGCACAGUAUAUUAUGCGUCUCUUAAUGAAUCUGUGAAAACCAGGAGCAUCUACAAUAGCCCUCUGCCCCCUCUAAUUCCCACUCACUAGAUGAAGGGGCUAUAACUUAAAGUUUGAAUAUAGGAUCCCUAAUAGGCAUAAAAACGUCCUCGAAGGAACUCGAGUGUUACCGUUAUACGCAGUCUCUGCAUGUACACUGGGAAGCUAAGUAAAAAAGCACGAACGGUGCAUAGAAAAUACGUAUCUGAUUGUUAUUGCAAGAUGAACUAAAAAAGAACCAGCCCAAAUGAAUCAUGUUGUCUACACAGAAAGAGUCAAAAAUCGAUAUACAGGGGACAUCAAUAAAAAGUGAAUUUAGGCAAAAAAUAGGAUUUACGGACGAGGAAAACAUAGAAAUUCAGACUGUCUCUAGUGUGUAGCUACAAAGCUGAUUAGAGUAUAGAUUAUAGUAGAUAGAGUAUAGAGGAAAACAGCACAAGGUAUGAUAUUGGUUGUUGUUUGGAAGCAAAUCUAUUGUGUGUAGGUUUAGAUGUGCGAUAAUACUGCGCGCUUCGACGUCUCGAAAAUUAUUGUUGCACAAAUUUGAGUAAGUUUUAAUGAUCUGACCGACAAAAGUAUAUUUUACUACAAAUAACAGCGUUGGUUGCUAUGAUCGCUUGCCUUUACUGAAACUCUUAGCAGUGAAGCGUAUCCUUUUCUUCCUCAGGACAUGUUACAGCUAUAAGCGUGAACCUACGCACAGCAUUAGCGUCUACUGUAUCUGUGCCCUUGUCCUGACAUGGGUCAGUUUCCAUAAAUAUCUACGCCAGCUGCGUGAUCGGUUGCUAUGGUGCGAAAUAUUUAUAUUCCAAUCUGUUUAAGCGUAAAUUCUAGCUGUGCAAACGAGCCAAGCUACGUCGCUUCCGCAUUCUAACUGGAUCAGCUGACGUCGAACUCAGCCAGCUUAAGGACCCGCUCCAUAACGCCCCACUGUCAACGCUGUCUAUAGGAAGUUUUCAAGAGUUUCGCGACCAUACGUUUCCGGAUAGAGAUGCAAGAAUUGUGAGACGACUCGAUUUACUAGUUCACGCAUAUCUUCGCUGGAACACUAACAUACAGUGUAGCUGUUAGUUCUUAUUGUCACAGUCCCCACUUUACGAUCAGUUCAGUGGUCGAACGAGUUAGGAACAGAAAGAGUAAAGAACAGAACUAGUAACACAGCAAAAACUACUAUCAUAACGGUGGCUGCAGCAGCAGUGAUUCCUCCGGUGACGCCUUAAUGAUCAGCGAGCAAGGCUCAUGCUAUUAAAUUCUCCGUCAGUGGUGUUCGUGCCGAACGCUGCAUUGAAGGCCGAACCGCCAGAUUUUAGCGCUAGGUCCUAGCGGCGUCAGACAAGUGUUGGACGGUCGCUAACUGAAACCCGAAACACGCACGCGGGAGGCAGGGCUCUCGAACAAACGCGGUUUGAAACAAAAGGCACAAUAGCACGUACAUUAGUUACAGCCUUUGCGCAAUUUUAUCAACGAUAGAAGACGAAAAUUAAAGGAGAGAGAGAGAGAGAGAGAGAGAGAGAGAGAGAGAGAGAGAGAGAGAGAGAGAGAGAGAAGUGCAACUGACUUCUUUAGACCGUUCGUGGCAACGCUAUGCCCUGAUUUGCUACUCGUUGCUUCCCUUGAAAAUGCCACUGCCUGUCGCCUGCUAAACGUGUGGUACGGCUACAGUAUCUAUACAAGUGAAAGCGAAGAGAAAGAUCGGUUUGCAAACGAUGUUUCUCCACAGAAUUCACGCUAGCCCCGGCUGAGGGCUGUCAAUACCGAAGCUUGGGUUUCGUGUGUAAGUAGACUGGUUGUUUGCUGUCAUUCGCGGCGAACUCGCGGCCAGACUUGGACGCUCGUAAAAUGGUUCUAACGCAUAUUUUAUGACUUGUGCAGUUCACUGGUUCAGAUUGUGGGACAAGAACUUGGUGCCAUCGAGGAGUUCAGGGAGAUCUUGGUAUACAAGUCAAGGACGGAAGAAGACCGUUUAUGCAGUUCGUGACUUUGAAAAAGAAACAAAAACAGAUGCAGAAAACAUGGGGUCCGGUUAUAAGCAUCGCCCAGAAUAUAAUGCGUAUAAGCUUUUGUUUAGUUAAAUUUAGUAGUAGUUCUAUAGAUUUUGUGAAACAACCUCUAAACCUUAAAAAAGAAAUGUAGUAAAAGUAUAUAUAUACACACCAAGAAUGCUUUAUAUACAAACUGCACUCCAAAUGAAUCGUAAAAUUGAUAUUACACAUAAAAAGGAUAACGUGAAUCCAAGAAAUUAGGCUGUUUGGUAUAUAGCAACAAAAGCUGUGUUGCCCAAAAAAAAAGUGUGAUGCCCAAACAAUAUUAUAUAAACAAUAUAAAUUGCUUUUAUCUGUAGGUUGGCAAGUUUAUUAUUGCGAGAAAACACGUUUUUAAACAAAUACCCAUGCUGCUUUAACUGUGGAACUAAUUGUAAACAUGUUUCUAACCGACAACUGCGAUUUGUUUUCCAAUUAUGCGUUUCACUAUUACAAGCUGACCUUCGAACAUUUUGCUACUGCUCUGGCAAGAUAUACAUAGUCGACAGUGUGCAUCCACGGCGCCAUUACCAAUGUCACGCUGAAGAAAUCAAAUCUAUUCAUGGAGCUUCGUAUCCAUGAAGAAAUCGAUGUGAAGUAUUAUACAAAAGUGCCUUGAGCAGGCAACGAGACGUCUCCAUAUCUUUUGGUACAUUUGGUUCGCCCGUUCUUUGACACUUUUUAGGUACCCCUAAUCCUAAUACUCGAUACCAUCCUUAGACAGUGAGAAACGCAGCGGCACGCAAUAAAUCCUGACAGCUGUUAUGACGCAAUGUAGCACAAUGAUUUUGCUGCUCAAGCAUUCGCGCCGAAGAAUAGGGCAGCUAUGCUCUUGCUGUUUGCUCUAGGGUUUGCUAGAGCGUGCAUCUCUAGUAGACGAUACAGUUAUGGCGACGUCUACGGUAACGCUAUUGAACGAUGGGCGGCUAACGGUAACUGAUUGGCGCAGAGAUAAGAGCCGCCCACAAAUAUAUGUAUAUAAACGGUGUUUUCGUCUGUAUAUAAAUUCGUUAUUGGGCUACGGUAAGAGUGGCAACACGGUGCUAACUCAAAUAGAUAAAUCGAAUCUGACCUCGUCGAAAGGUAUUAUGCAAACUCUUCGUUAUAGUAACGCCCAACAAAUAAUACGACCAACACACAAGCUGUGGACCCGACCGGGGGUCGGUAUGUUUUUGCUUCGGAUUGCUAGCGGAGAGGAAGUGCUCUCAGGCACCUCUCUUUUUAUAUCUAUGUACAGGUUAAUCAAGUACGGUCGUCUGCUUCGGAUGCUGCGAAAAUCUGGAAUUGUCAAUACUGGACCAUAGCUGUUUUGUUCAUCUAUUGUUCUUCAUCUUUUUCCACUGUUAGCUCGAAACGAUGACCGUAGCUGAGUAGCGCAGGCAUGGGCCGAGGGCCCGGGCUUGGUAAUCGCAGUCCAGUUCGAGUUUUUUGUUACAUUUCUAAACAAUCCAACAAAGGUUUACCUGUUGGUCGGCUAUUUGGGGGAUAGGGUAAUACGCGCGAAGAGAAAGACAACUCAUUGGGUUGGACACGUAGGCAGGUGAGGUGAUGCCUGAGGCGGUUUUUACGUUCGCCCGUCGCCUGUUGGCAAUUUUGUUAUCUUCUGUGCAUGCUAUAGAGCAAACGAGCCAAGCAGUACGAACGUUUGUUAGCCUUAAACACCAGGGGAGGAAUUUGCGUUUCCACUAUCCUUAGAAGGCCUUAAGAUACAGCAUUCUUCUGACAAGUCGUAAAACACUAUGAGCCCACAGUGCCCAAAAUCUACAGGUUAUCAAUUAGCACUUUUGGCUGCUGAAGAGAAAUGGGUUUAAUGCGUCUAUACACCCAUCCAUUUAUACAAAGGGCACUAUUUUGUAGGAAGAAAGUAGUGCUACGUCACGGAAGGGCUUCGACUUUCCUAAUAAGGUUUAGCACGAAUCCAUUUAGUAUAUUUAAGUAAGAUAGAACGGCAGAGCAGCAAACGAAGCACUUCAAACAGCAAGUCUUCAAAAUCUAUUUACUUAGCACUAAGUUUAGCAAUAGCAGUAUUAUCAAGGAUCCUAAUAAUAUGAUAAAAUUUUUUUCGUUACAUUAAUUCGGAGUCCGAGUUUAUCCAUUUACCUCGAAAAGUGUGAAGUGUGUUUCUGGUAAUUGAACGUAAAUCGAGUCCAAAUGCAUAGUCGACAUUUGCUCUAGCCGAAGAUAGCCCUUCACAACACGUGAACGUCUUUUCAGGUUCAACACUUGAUCAGGUUCAAGUAAGAAAGUAAUCAUGAACUAAAUCAACUUCAGAUCUAAUUACUAAUUAUACAAUUUGCCUGUGUUACUGUCACGGCCAUAUUAUUCUCAGUGAAGCAAAGGCUACUGCUGGAAAAAGCUGCUUGUUAAUACAAAGUUCUGUCUGCUUGUUUUCAUUGCUUAUAUAGCUUGAUGAAGUCUGUUCUGUUGGUCGUCCCUACCGACAAACGUCCUACCUUAGCAGAAGAGAAAAUGUUAAAGCGGUAAAUUAUGACGCUAACGGUGGUUAUUGCGUUGUAUGUAGACUGCAAACAAGCGUCUGUAGUAUAACAGUUGGAAUGAGCAAGCAGCUUUUUGAACUGUCGAUUAUGUGAGCCGGUGCAUUUUUGUCGUCUGCUUUGACAACCGGAACGUGACUUUUUUGGAAAAUCUACAUUUGAGUUUUAGGAGGCACCAAACAAUGGCAAACGCACUGGCCUAGCAAAUUGGCCUCGCUGGAAACCCUUCCGAAGCUCCAAAUUCCGACAGGGAAGAACAGAAACAACCUUCGGGUCGUGUGCGCAUCCUUUUUCCAGCAGGCCAGCACAAUGUUCCUAGGUUAGGUGUUCGAUUGCCUGCACAGUCAACUGGAAGCCGGAGCCCAGGGUAGUGCCGAUGGCGUUGCAGAAUAGCUCAGUCAAACAGUGGGGUGAGGCGGCAAGGUUGGGAUGUCUUUGUUGAUAUCGAUGGCGCCGGUUAAAAAGAUGGCAGAAAGUGAGUUGGGUUCCGUGUUGCUAUGCUAAAAAAUGAGAAAUUUUGUAGACAACGUACCGCGUCUAUUUACUGAACUCCGACGUCUAUUAGUGCGUUUCUAUUAUUACCUCAUCAAUUACUUAAUUUGUCUAUAGAAUAAAAUGAAUAUAUGCAGCCUUACUGGCCUAAGGUCAACGUUUAAGAAAGUAAUACGACUCAGCAAUAGAGGUCAAUAUUUUUAAUACUCAUAUCCAAUUUCCCUAUAAUAGUUGAUAUUUCUUCGAAAAAAAAAAAUGGCAAAUAUCACUUAGAAAUGCUGCCUUAAUCAACAAUUUGUCUACAAACCUAUAAGAGGCUCCGCUCUAUAUUUUAAUCUCGAUCCUAAUUCAGCUGCCCAGUAUUAACUGCGUUUAAUAGAAAAGUUGAACUUUCAGUCACACUGUUUUCUAAUACGAAUAAAACGAAAUUUAAAUUAAUUUUUAUAAACACAAGGGAAUGUAAACGAAACAAGUUAAACAUUUGAUACCGUUACUGGCUCCUGAAACAGGCAGCGUAUCUGCUUUGUAUGGAAUCUUGACGAAUUAUAAGGAAAAAAUGUUAUUCUAUCUUUAUUGAGCUGGUUCAAAACCUGAAAAGUCAGAGGUUUGAGGAGGAAAGCGGUGAACGGCAGCCACAUAAAAAGCACUACAAGAAUUUUUGCCGGAAUUUAUUUACAUAGAAAAAAAAAUUUGCCUCAACCGACGGUAACAAUCAAGUAAAAAUAAACCGAAUAAGGGGUGGUGAAAAGUUCUGUAUAGAAUAAGCUCAACUUUUCUGUUGUGGACGAAAAACUUUUUCUGAUGUUUCAACUUAUCAAGACCCUUUUACCCUAUUCUGUGUUGCCUCCUAACGAAGCUGUGCCAGCUGAAGCGGAAAUGGGCAUUUGCCUUCUUAACCCAUAACGAAUAGAACGCUGCUUAACUGUCAGCGUACCAUUCCUAAUUCAUUUGUAUUUGUUGUGUUCUGUUGAUCAGAUUUGCUCAGACAUAUUGGAAAUGACAAUAAACUUGCUAUUCGGUGCUGGCGUCUUUCAAAGGUGAACAGCCAUAUUGAGGCAGGGCUAAUUUUAUCGCCAGUUUAAACCAUUCCAGCGAACUCUCGGUCGCGUACUGAUCGCUCCAAGCUACUGCCUCGAUAGGCCGUAAUCGAUCCGUGGACGCAUAAGCGAAACGCUUAUUCUUUACAACGCUACUAAUAUCUAGCUACGAUCUUCAAUGGAAUUAUGACAGCGCUCAUCAAUUUGUGUUGUCGCUGCAGGGUCCAUUGUUCCAUCAGGUUCCGGACGUUCGUCUUCGACUUUGCACACCCCGUGUGAUUACUAUGUAAGCAGCAUCGACACAGAAUACGUCGACUGUACGAACAGGCAAACGGUCUUGCGUCACCGGGAACCCUAGCCCGGCUUGUAAAGGUCCCGAAAUUGUCUUACUUGAUUAUAUGUUAGCUCAAACACUACGAUAACGGAGAAAAGAUGCGAAAAAAUCAAGCGUAAAUAAAACCGAAAUAUAUUAUUAAUUCGGGUUGUAUAUCAAGAUUGGCAUAUUAAAGAUGUGUGUUUGAAAAUAAUGACCAUAGUUGUCGUACCUUACAUAUAUAGAAAUUGGUAUUUGGUGGACAGAUUUCUCUUACGCAGGUAAUCUAUUUAGCCAACAAUUGGCCGAUUGUCGUUUACGAUAGAACAUCCGUUUAUUUAACUACAAAGUAUAAACCAGACGAAGAAAGAAGAGCUAUACGGCCAUUGAUCGUUAUGUUACGCGAUAUGUACCCAGCUUGUUUGAGCUGACUGCGUGGUGAGGUGAUAUUAAAAGCUCCGACAUAUUGACAAUUCUUAGGUCCCAUCUUGGUAUCGAACCCAGGAUGACGUACGCACUAACGUCAAUGUUAUCAAGUCGCCAUUAGUUUGUUGUUCGAGCUCAAACGGCGACAGACAUUUGACAAAUGUGCCACAUUGUUAUUAUGCUGUUAAAGAAAUGUAUUUUUUCUUUUUUUCACAAAGAGGCGUCUUUGCUCUCAGCGACAUCUGCGCAAACAAACAUAAGCAGAGUGAGUGUGACAAGUGAUAUAAUGGAAAAAAGCCAAAUUGGGACUACGAAGCUUAGACAUCAGUGCAAUCCUAAGGACACGCAGCUUCAGUCAAUGCGAAGAUUACGAGCCAUUCUUGGGAAGAGCAUCAAGAACCAGGCCUCGCCAAGACCUUAGUACCAGAAAGUCGCUACCCUGUACAGUCAUAUUCAGUAGCAUCGGUGCCAAUGCCGACAGCGAAAUCUUUGCGGGUAAGAACUGUGGAACCUUUCAGAUGGGAUCAAGCUGACAUGGCAUAUGGUGCGCACAUUUAACAACAAUAAAAAUAAAAUCUGCAUCUACAGCACAGAUAUAAGGGAGCUUCAUAUAGAAAAGGGAGGGGGGCCCUGACUGUGACCAGGCGUACAGGAAAACGUACGCCUGGUCACAGUCAGGGCCACCAUUUUGGAGCAGGGUAUAUCCAUGUGAUGUUGCUAAGCGCAUCUAGUUCUGUGCUUAGUCUUCAAUAUCUCCUGUAAUAGUGAGGUGUAUUGGGUUGUUGUUAGCAUUAGAUUGAUACAACCUUAGCGGUCAUCUUUUGUGCGUUCGUCAACAACUUUUUAACGUAAACUUCUAGAUUACAGAAGGACAAUGCGAGGGAUUUCGUCAUUCAUGUAAGCUAAGUAGGCGUCUACGCGUGCAUCGUUUUCUCUUUAUACUUUAUUUAAACAAAUCUCUAUUUGUUAAUUUUUAACCUGAAAUGAUAUUUCCGUGGACAUGUUUUUAGUAUAACACUUCCUUCACUUGUAUCGGGUAGAUGCACGUUUUGCGUACUGUGCAAUGCACGGGCCAAAAGACACCAUAGACGAAGAUAGUAUAUAGGCCAUAAUAGCUAAUUUUCAUCAACUUAAGAUAGCACGACAGAAAAAAACUGAGCACAGACAAGAACAAAGUUAUUUCAAACCCAGCUUCAGAAAACUAAUAACACAUUCCUUUAUAUUUCUUCCAGUUUUUUUUGCGCACGCUCGUUUUCCCAGUUUCGUGUACGGCUACGAAUGGCGACUUGACCUAAUUUCGAUUUUGCUUGGUCUCUGCUAUAUGGUGCUAUACAUCUAUGCUUUUGACCUUCUGAAUCUCUUCCGCGACCUGUCUCUCCAUUGAUUCUUCCCACAGUGGGUGAAACGAAACCCUGUUACUGUCUGUCCCAGGUACAGGGCAAACUUGCAUGCAUCCUUUAUUACGUCGUACAGAUACGGCAGCCCACGACGGCACUAGCAAACCAAGCUUCUUCCUGGUCCAGCUCGUCGAUAUUUAAAUAAUUCGUUAUGCACGCGAUGUAUUAGCCGACCCUGACUGUGCUCUCAAGGUAAAUUUCAGCGGGUUGUCCCACGACUUUCUCAGUCCGCCCGGGGGAUUGUGGGAGAGCCGAACUAUGAAAAUGGGACACGAGCUUAUGAACUAGAAGCAAGGAGUCUAUUUUCAGUUCAGCAUAACGAGCUUUUCGGAUUAUAGUUGAAAGGUUGCGAACAGAAGGCGAAGAACAUAAAAGGUUCGUUGAGACUGUAUGUACGAAAAAACGGCUAGAUAGGAACUGCGUCUGAAACCUUCGGUUUAGCGAGACGUCUAGAUGUUAGGUAGAAUCAAGGUGUAUUUUAAUGGAAAUUAAGAAUACGUAGGUUGAGUAAGUACUCUCAUACGAACAGCUUCAAGAAGAGACUUCGGUAGCCAUAUAUAAUGUCAAACUCGAUUGGCUUGUGAAUGAUUGCAUAAGUAAAGCUUGAUACAUUAUAAUUUAGCAGUUAGCAAUCUACAUGGCUUUCGAAGGGUUUAUAUUAUACUACAAAAAAACAAGUCUAAAGCAAGGCUACGCACACAAUACGCGCACAACUCAUGAACUACCUUAAGAUAGAAUCCUGCAAAGUCAGUCCAGAGCCUAGAAUACUUAGUAUUAAGACAUGCUCUCAUAACGCGUAUUCAGGCACGGUCAUUAAAAUCUAUAUAAAGUAGCUUCAUGUUGAAGCUUCUACUAAAGAAUAAAGAAAUAAUCUACUUUUAUUUUAUACCUAUUGCGAUUUUUCUUAAUAUUUAACGCUCUGUGGCCUUAAGCAAUUGGAAGACACCGAACCAAAACAAAUAUUCCAAUACAACUCAAUUGUAACAAUGGUUAUUAUCCAGCUAUUUCCGAUCGCCUUCCGGUCACUAUUCUCCAAUACCGUUAUGACUGAUGCUAUAUAUACUUAUAAACAUAUUGAUCGAUCUGACUGGUGUUACGUCUGAUCUAAUAAACUACAGAUCUACAGUUGUACAAUUGUUAGAUUGCAAUUUCCCUGAGACCCCGUUGUCUAUCGUGUUACUCGGUAGCCGCUAUGAAAUUAGAGUAAUUCUAUUGCUUUGAUUCAGUCGAUCUAUCAGCCUGCCUCAACAAUCCCAUAACCUUUCUAAGGCAAACUAAUAUUGAAUCGCGAAGCUAUUGCCAUAUCUAAUAAACUAUGUAAAUGACUCACUUGAUUUAUAUAACCUGCGUUUAAACUAUACUUAAAGAUGCUGUGCCCCUAGUUAGAUACCACUAUACGCAUUCUGGGCUGUUGUGGGAAAUGCCCGUGACAAGUUUCGUUGUCCUUCAACACGUGAAGAUUAGGCCUCGAUCUGAGAAGUGGAUUAUUAUUCAACAUAUUUUACAGUGUGUAAUCCUAUUUUAGCUGAUUAGAAUUCAAAAUACUCAAUCGAUAGAGUUACGCAGCGUAAGUGAGAGCAGGUGAUCUUCGAACUUGAGUCCCCUGCUGUCCAAAGAGCAUUCUAAUUUCGAAAAGCUUACUAUAAACUCGUUUAAAUGUUCAAAAGCCUUUGAAUCAGAAAGCUUUUGUUGAUAGGUAUUCUAAUUUGGUGACGGCUGAUUUAUUCUAUUACGUUAUAUCAAGUCAACUUAUAGAUAAUUAGUGGAAAACGUGUUGAAAUAAUAGUUGUUUUGUUCAUCUAAAGGUUACGUAAGUGGAAGUUUUUUAGUUGCCAACUUGUGUCCUUGUGAAUUGUAGAUCAUCAGGUAGCUUUUUCGCAGAUCUGAUUCGAAGCUAUGCCUUUGCGUUAUCAUUCGCUCCAUAUAGAAGUUCGAGAGCUCUAAUCGUAUCAACGACUAAUGGACCUUUUCUUCAAAUUCAGAUGAUAAUAUGCUUCUUAAAACUAAAAAAGGCUAAAAUAAUGGUGCACUUGGAAAAUUAACCUAGUGCUUUAUCACUAAUUACCUCGCCAAUCAAAAAGUUCUCCCGAAAACAAAUGAAUCGAACAUCUUGUACUAUUUAUUGGGUAUAUCCAUCGCUAAACAUAGGCGUAAGGACCAUAAAUCAUUUUGCCAUUAUUAAAACGCUCUUUAUUUAACCACAUAUGCUGUGUAGCACAUUUAGGCCAUUGUCGAACCUGAUGAAUUAGUGAGCUCUUGUUGAGCAUAACUCAAUGAGCUACUGUCUUCGCCUAUAAAACUCCAACGAAGUGCCUGCCUUUUUACCAACAUACUCUUCUGUAGUAAUCAGUAGCACGGGAAUGCUAUACUAUGCGGUUUAUCCCGGCCCCUAUUUUUUCAGAAACCGUUUUUGUUGUAAUCAAGGUGUACGGUUGCCCAACACUGCUAUUCGUGCACGCAAGGGGCGCUCUUGCCUCAGCUUAACAACGCAUAGACGCUUGGUGCUAGCAGUUUCAGUUGAACGGUCGCGGUAACCAUCACAAUACGCGGUGCCUGUAUCUUGAAGUCAUCCUAGAGGCGGUUUUGCUCGAUGUUCGAAGUUACUGCUCCACGAGAGUGUAACACAGUAUUAAUGAUCGACUUUACUCUGCUGCUCAAGGUCCGGUAAUCAAAAUCGUUAUAGUGUUGGAUGCAGACGCCAGCUGACAUGUCGGCCAUGAAUAUGGAACGUUUAUGUCGACGAAGUGUA